GAACAGCUGCGCGCCCGCCUAGCGCUGCGAACCCGGAGUGAGAGGCGCUUCAGAGACUGGAGGGACGGACCUGCAGGAGCCAGGGCUGCCCGCCGAGCUGCAGUUGCCGCUACUGCCGCUGUCAGCGCCCGACUGAAGAGUGACAGCCGCAAAAGCAGGAGUGAGCACCGAACCCCGCGCUUCUACCUAACAGGUGCAUGCGCCGAUCUGGUGAGUGGACCCAGCUCACAAGAUCUCAGGUAACCAUUCAUGAGCCUGAGGCUGUGAGAAAUGCUCGCUGUGCAAAGGGGAACUCUCACCAGAUUUUCUGAAACUGUUCUAGAAAUACACUUUUCGGAUUGAUUCAGCAUUACCAGCUUAUCCAACAAAAGUAUUAACAUAUACAUUAACAACGUCGAAAGUAGCCUACUUUAAGAGAAAAUAUGCAGAAGAAGAAGAUUUACAUCAAGAUUACCAUGGGUAUUUUCCAAAACACCUGAUAUUACCUGAGGACAGAACUUGCAUUCUCAAACUUUCUCUGGAGAAGCUCAGGUUUCUUGAAGACCCAGAAACCUACUUAAGAAGGUCUGUGUUAAUUAACAAUUUGCUGAGGAAGAUACAUCUAGAGACGGAGAAAGAGAGCUAUGAAUACUUUAAAGAAGCUCCCUGUUAUAAGACUGCAUAUUCUGAUACAAGAAAACGGCUGAAGUUUAUGGUACAGGAAUGCUGUUCUCAGUCUCUCUAUUAUGAAGAGCUGCAUUCGUAUCAUAUUGUGCCUUAUGCUUCGGAGAAUGCCAUUUAUGAAAUGGGCUACACUAGCAGCCACUUGGAGCAAAAUUCUCAGUUGCUUAUUUAUAAAAUGAAUUAAAGUAACUGUUAAGUCCA
rnacentral:lncRNA from 1 species